AGAGUUUGAUCCUGGCUCAGGAUGAACGCUGGCGGCGUGCUUAACACAUGCAAGUCGAACGAUGAUCCCAGCUUGCUGGGGGAUUAGUGGCGAACGGGUGAGUAACACGUGAGUAACCUGCCCUUGACUCUGGGAUAAGCCUGGGAAACUGGGUCUAAUACCGGAUACGACCAUCUGGCGCAUGUCAUGGUGGUGGAAAGCUUUUGUGGUUUUGGAUGGACUCGCGGCCUAUCAGCUUGUUGGUGGGGUAAUGGCCUACCAAGGCGACGACGGGUAGCCGGCCUGAGAGGGUGACCGGCCACACUGGGACUGAGACACGGCCCAGACUCCUACGGGAGGCAGCAGUGGGGAAUAUUGCACAAUGGGCGCAAGCCUGAUGCAGCGACGCCGCGUGAGGGAUGACGGCCUUCGGGUUGUAAACCUCUUUCAGUACAGACGAAGCGUAAGUGACGGUAUGUACAGAAGAAGCACCGGCCAACUACGUGCCAGCAGCCGCGGUAAUACGUAGGGUGCGAGCGUUGUCCGGAAUUACUGGGCGUAAAGAGCUCGUAGGUGGUUUGUCGCGUUGUUCGUGAAAACCGGAGGCUCAACCUCUGGCGUGCGGGCGAUACGGGCAGACUUGAGUACUGCAGGGGAGACUGGAAUUCCUGGUGUAGCGGUGGAAUGCGCAGAUAUCAGGAGGAACACCGGUGGCGAAGGCGGGUCUCUGGGCAGUAACUGACGCUGAGGAGCGAAAGCGUGGGGAGCGAACAGGAUUAGAUACCCUGGUAGUCCACGCCGUAAACGGUGGGUACUAGGUGUGGGUUUCCUUCCUUGGGAUCCGUGCCGUAGCUAACGCAUUAAGUACCCCGCCUGGGGAGUACGGCCGCAAGGCUAAAACUCAAAGGAAUUGACGG
rnacentral:rRNA from 1 species